UGGGCCUAGGUAUUGCCUCAGUAGCGGCGAGUGAAGCGGCAAGAGCUCAGAUUUGAAAUCGUGCUUUGCGGCACGAGUUGUAGAUUGCAGGUUGGAGUCUGUGUGGAAGGCGGUGUCCAAGUCCCUUGGAACAGGGCGCCCAGGAGGGUGAGAGCCCCGUGGGAUGCCGGCGGAAGCAGUGAGGCCCUUCUGACGAGUCGAGUUGUUUGGGAAU
rnacentral:rRNA from 1 species